CCUACGGGUGGCAGCAGUGAGGAAUAUUGGUCAAUGGGCGGAAGCCUGAACCAGCCAAGUAGCGUGCAGGAUGACGGCCCUACGGGUUGUAAGCUGCUUUUAUACGGGAACAACGCGCCUUACGUGUAGGGCUUUGCAUGUACCGUAUGAAUAAGCACCGGCUAAUUCCGUGCCAGCAGCCGCGGUAAUACGGAAGGUCCGGGCGUUAUCCGGAUUUAUUGGGUUUAAAGGGAGCGUAGGCCGCAUGACAAGCCUGCGGUUAAAUGUCCGGGCUCAACCCGGGCCUUGCAGCGCAAACUGGCGUGCUUGAGUCCGCGGAAAGCAGGCGGAAGGCGUGGUGUAGCGGUGAAAUGCUUAGAUAUGACGAAGAACCCCGAUUGCGAAGGCAGCUUGCUGCAGCGGAACUGACGCUGAUGCUCGAAAGCGCGGGUAUCGAACAGGAUUAGAUACCCGUGUAGUC
rnacentral:rRNA from 1 species